UGCCUCUUGAAAUAAAAUAAAAGGUACAACCUGCCCAGUGAUUUACGAAUUAAACGGCCGCGGUACCCUGACCGUGCUAAGGUAGCAUAUAAUAUUCCCUUUAAUUGUGGGUUAGAAUGAAUGGAAAAACGAGGGCCAAGCUGUCUCUAAUAUAAUAAAUAAAAUUAACCUCCAGGUGAAGAGGCCUAGAUAAACUUAAAAGACAAAAAGACCCCGUAGAGCUUUACCAUAUAAAUAUAGCCAAAAAUUUAUUAUAUAUCUCUUAUCUAUACCAAAUGGUUUAACUGGGGCGGUUAAGGAGCACACACCCUCCUUUAAUUAUCAGGCAACAACCCUUUUAAUGAUCCAACAUAGAUUAAAGAAUAUAGCUACCUCGGGGAUAACAGGCUAAUCUCUCUUAAGAGCACAAAUCGAAAGAGAGGGUUGGCACCUCGAUGUUGGCUUAGAGUACCCAAGGGGUAGCAGAAGCUCCUAAAGGUAGGUUUGUUCAACCUUUAAAACUCU
rnacentral:rRNA from 1 species